rnacentral:rRNA from 1 species
AUGGAGUGGGGAGAUCCCACCAAAUGUCAUAUCUGUGGGGAGGUAGGUCACUGGAAGAGAGAAUGUCCAACUCGUGGCAGAGGCAGGGGAUAUAACAGAGGGGGAGCAGGCAGAGGUAGAAGUGCUCGAGGCAGAGGUGGAUACUCAGAGACCUCAUGGAGCCAGGCUUCUAGAGGUAGAGGUGGCUACUCAGAACACUCAGGGAGUCAGCGGGCUCACAUGGCCGUUGCAGGAGACACUGGGACGUCCAAAGGCAAAGAUGUAGAUGAUGUUGCCUAUGGAGACUUUGCUCACUGGGCCUCCACUGAUGAAGGAGCGACAGACGAGCCAGACGGUUGGGACUGGCACCAGGCGUAG